rnacentral:rRNA from 1 species
UGGGGGAUAUUGCACAAUGGGCGAAAGCCUGAUGCAGCGACGCCGCGUGGUGGAUGAAGGUUUUUGGGUUGUAAACCUCUUUCGCUAUCGAACAAGGCCUACUAUAGGGUGGGUUGAGGGUAUGUGCAGAAGUAGCGCCGGCUAACUACGUGCCAGCUGCUGCGGUAAUACGUAGGUCGCGAGCGUUGUCCGGAAUUAUUGGGCGCAAAGAGCUCGUAGGCAGUUUGUCGCGUCUGCUGUGAAAGACCGUGGCUUAACUCCGGGGCUGCAGUGGGUACGGGCAGACUAGAGUGCGGUAGGGGUAACCGGAAUUCCUGGUGUAGCGGUGGAAUGCGCAGAUAUCAGGAGGAACACCGAUGGCGAAGGCAGGUUACUGGGCCGUUACUGACACUGAGGAGCGAAAGCAUGGGGAGCGAACAGG